AGUCGCCGGCGACUCUUCUCGAGCAGCGGACGCCGCCAUGACAGUUUUGUCCUUGACAAGUCACAGCGUUACCUGAUGAGUCAAGAGGUUCUGUACCUGAUGUACCUGAUCAAGAGUACCUGAUGAUUCUGCAACACCACCUGAUGGCCAACUCGACGGCAUUGCUGACCCGAAAAGGAGUCUAGCAGCUGAAUGUUCAACUUCUGCCACUGCACUGUUGACUCUGCCUAGAGACAGCAUCUGCACCACGGCCCACAGACGAUCUUCCGUGGGACGGUGUGCUCCGCACCAGUCACCACACUGACGGCGUUCACCUGUGUGCUGCACAACUUUCUGUGAGGUCAGGAGAUCGACACUGACGGCCCCGGACGGUGUGCUCUGAUUGCGCCGAGUGUGCUCCCUCGUGUCCGGGCCUUGAUGCCAAUACCGCACGCGAGGCGGCGCAAGCCCUCACAUACUGCGUCCAAGGUGCAGGUGGUGUUCGGUGACAGUGUGCAGCUUCUGCCGGCCCCGUGGACGGCACCGCGUGUGAUCAUGGCAUGUGCAUUUGAUUUUCUGACAUAGUGCAGUGAAUUCAUUUGUCAUUUUGCUUCUGAACUGAAUGCUGUCGCCGCUCGGUAGGGUCGAUUCUGCCAGAGUAAAGAGGUCGCCACGAUCGGCGCCGGUGCGGCAAGCCGGAGCAAGGCACUCGGCAAUCAGCUGCCGGGAGGUGGCGGCGGCGGCGGCGGCUGACGACUCGUGCCUCGAAAAUCAUGUCGUGUGCGUUGCUGGCUAUUAUGCGUUGUUGGUGUGCGCUGUUUUGCAAGGCCUUUGGAGCGGCAUGUCGAGUUUUGAGUUUUGGACGAAGGAGCCUUGGUGUUUUGUUGGUCUAUUUUCGAUAAAAACGGUCAUGAAGAGUGAGCUGUGUCCAGGCUGAUUUUAAGAUUUCUGUCACAGUAUUGUCACCUUUGACCUAGGCUUGUGUCUUCUUGGGUAUCGGCAUAUUGUGCCACCGUCCUUGCCCCGUGUCCGCGCGUGCUGCAUUUUUAUGUGGUCUCGCGUAUGGCGUCAUAUACUGUCACCUCGCCAUGUUUAGUGAUAUCCACUGUGUGGAAAAAUGCAUUUUGUUAUAAGGGGGGGGGGGGGUACACUUGUGUUCCCCAAUCUAGCGCUUUAGAUAAUACAGCAUCUGUUUUUGACAUAAUGAAAGCCUGUGUUUUAUGUGGGUGGUAGGCUUCGCCGUUCCUCAGGUCCGUUUCUGGCAUUUGAAUUUCUGCUACAUUUCUAGAAUGCCUUUUUUCUGUUUUUCACAUACAAAGCACGGUUCAAAUGUGUGACCACAAAUCACUGUGAUUGUCCCAUGCUUACCACCAACCAUUCCUUCAAUGCUAAUGUCGUUACAGCGAAGUUAUUCAUUUAUUGAGAACAGGGUUGUAGUUGAAUAAACAAGACAGGUGAGCAAAA
rnacentral:lncRNA from 1 species